AAUCCGCCCCGGAUCAGCCUGCUCAUUUCUUCUCUAACAGCUGGCGUCACGAACAAGAUCCCAGGGGAGAGUUGUGCCUGAUCACCACGUCUCACCAUGGAUUCAAUGAACACCACCACCACCAAGCGACUGAAACGCUGAACAAUGGGGAGAGCCAGACUGAAAAGUAACCAGCCAGCCUGUGACACUUUAUGGGCAAGCUGGUGCCAGUGAAAGAACAACCCAGAACACCAUGGGUCUACUGUCGCAACAAAAAAUUGUGUUGUGUGUUUUGUGCUGUUUGUCUUAUUACCGUUAUUUUGGUGAAUAUUAUACAAGGUGGGUUAACCUGCCUGGAGAGCUCAGUCUACCCAUCGUGGGGGAAAGCAAGUGAUGUACCACAUUCAUUGAGAACACCAUCUAUUCCCAGUUCCUAAAUGGAGGGUGUGACGUUAUAGACAUGAACUGUGACCAUAUAGAUCAUUGUUGCAACCUGGGUCCUAUGGUUUCACCAAGUCUUGUACAGAGGAGGUCAAGUGGGGUGUCUAUGGAAAGGUUGUAGUUUGCUGCUUAUGAUUAUGCUGUCUGUAUGUGUGUUUCAUUUUUGUAUUUGAAGUUAUGAAUAUUAGCUAUGGUAUUGUAUCUCAAUGUAUUUGAUUCUAAGUAGUCUCAGUGAAGCAUUUGGUCAGCUUCUUGAGAAAGGAUUAUUCUCAAUAAGUGUCCAAUCAAGAAACACUUAACUGACAAUGGACUUUGGGAGAUGCCAAUCCACAUCUGAGCUUUCCUGGGAAUGUUCAAACUAACAUGUAAACAACGGCGUCGGCCGCAAAAAGCUGAAUCAUUCAUGGACAUGUGACUUGCCCAGGUGGCUAAAAACUCCAUCUUGUUGCUGUGACUUUGCACAGAACAAAGGAGUUUCUGCCCACAAGAGAGAGACUAUAAAAGCCCCUGAAAACCCCUCCAUUUUGUCUUCAGCUGGCUCAAGAGAUGAUCUUUCCACCCCAAAGAGAUGCCUGAAAAAAACUGGAACAAAGGACAGUAACUAUGGGGUUGUGAGUGAUUGCUGGACCCAGUCUAAGAAGGAGUCCAGUCUGUGAAAGAAGCUUAUUGGAACAUCUCUGGGGGUGAGAUUUCAUCUGUAAUCAGUUUUUUAAUGUAUUAGGCUUAGACUUGCGUGUUUUGUUUUAUUUUGCUUGGUACCU